rnacentral:rRNA from 1 species
UACGGGGGGAGCAAGCGUUGUUCGGAUUUACUGGGCGUAAAGGGCGCGUAGGCGGUCAGCACAAGUCAGUUGUGAAAUCUCCGAGCUUAACUCGGAAAGGUCAACUGAUACUGUGCGACUAGAGUGCAGAAGGGGCAACUGGAAUUCUCGGUGUAGCAGUGAAAUGCGUAGAUAUCGAGAGGAACACCUGCGGCGAAGGCGGGUAGCUGGGCCGACACUGACGCUGAUGCGCGAAAGCCAGGGGAGCGAACGGG